UGACAGCUAGGAUGUUGGCUUGGAAGCAGCCAUUCAUUUAAAGAGUGCGUAACAGCUCACUAGUCGAGCGAUCGGGCGUGGAUGAUAAUCGGGCAUUAAGCAUAUUACCGAAGCUAUGGACUAACGGCUUAAGCCGUUAUUUGUAGGGGAGCAUUCCAGUAGCUGUGAAGAUGUAUUGUAAAAUAUGUUGGAGCAGCUGGAAAAGAAAAUGUAGGCAUAAGUAACGAUAAUGCGGGUGAGAAACCCGCACACCGAAAGACCAAGGAUUCCUGAUCAACGCUAAUCGGAUCAGGGUUAGUCGGGCCCUAAGGUUAAUCCGAAAGGAGAUACCGAUGGCUGAUAGGUUAAUAUUCCUAUACUAGCGAUUACUGCGAUGAGGUGACGAAGUAGUGACAGGUCUGCGUACUGACGGAAUAGUACGUUGAAGGGCGUAGGUAUACAUUUGGCAGGCAAAUCCACUAAAUGUGCUGAAACCUGAUAGUACCGUGAGUCUUCGGACAAACGGAUAACGACCGUAACCAAACUUCCAAGAAAAACCUCUAAGCUUCAGGUAGUUGCUACCCGUACCGGAAACCGACACAGGUAGUCGAGGAGAGUAUCCAAAGGUGCUCGAGUGAAUCAUGGCUAAGGAACUAGGCAAAUUAGUCCUGUAACUUAGGAAUAAAGGACGCCCCGAGCAAUCGGGGCCGCAGAGAAAUGGCCCAGGCGACUGUUUAUCAAAAACACAUGGCUAUGCAAAAUUUUAAGAUGAAGUAUAUGGCCUGACACCUGCCCGGUGCUGGAAGGUUAAGAGGAGAGGUUAGUCCUGAGCAAUCAGGCCGAAGCUUUGAAUUGAAGCCCCAGUAAACGGCGGCCGUAACUAUAACGGUCCUAAGGUAGCGAAAUUCCUUGUCGGGUAAGUUCCGACCUGCACGAAUGGUGUAACGAUCUGGGCACUGUCUCAGCCAUGAGCUCGGUGAAAUUGUAGUUCCGGUGAAGAUGCCGGAUACCCGCAACGGGACGGAAAGACCCCGUGAACCUUCACUAUAACUUUACAUUGACUCUGGAUAAACAAUGUGUAGGAUAGCUGGGAGACUGUGAAGCGGCUUCGCUAGGAGUCGUGGAGUCAACCUUGAAAUACCAGCCUUUGUUUAUCUGGCGCCUAAUCCCUAACGGGAGACAGUGUAUGGUGGGUAGUUUGACUGGGGUGGUCGCCUCCAAAAACGUAACGGAGGCUUUCAAAGGUACCCUCAGCAUGCUUGGUAACCAUGCGCAGAGUGCAAUAGUAUAAGGGUGCUUGACUGUGAGACAUACAAGUCGAACAGGUAGGAAACUAGGAUAUAGUGAUCCGGUGGUUCCGAAUGGAAGGGCCAUCGCUCAAAGGAUAAAAGGUACUCCGGGGAUAACAGGCUGAUCUCCCCCAAGAGCUCAUAUCGACGGGGAGGUUUGGCACCUCGAUGUCGGCUCGUCACAUCCUGGGGCUGGAGAAGGUCCCAAGGGUUCGGCUGUUCGCCGAUUAAAGUGGCACGUGAGCUGGGUUCAGAACGUCGCGAGACAGUUCGGUCCCUAUCUGUUGUGGGCGCAGGAGAUUUGAGAGG
rnacentral:rRNA from 1 species